rnacentral:rRNA from 1 species
CCUACGGGAGGCAGCAGUGAGGAAUAUUGGUCAAUGGACGAGAGUCUGAACCAGCCAAGUAGCGUGAAGGAUGACUGCCCUAUGGGUUGUAAACUUCUUUUAUAUGGGAAUAAAAUGUUCCACGUGUGGGAUUUUGUAUGUACCAUAUGAAUAAGGAUCGGCUAACUCCGUGCCAGCAGCCGCGGUAAUACGAAGGAUCCGAGCGUUAUCCGGAUUUAUUGGGUUUAAAGGGAGCGUAGGUGGAUUGUUAAGUCAGUUGUGAAAGUUUGCGGCUCAACCGUAAAAUUGCAGUUGAAACUGGCAGUCGUGAGUACAGUAGAGGUGGGCGGAAUUCGUGGUGUAGCGGUGAAAUGCUUAGAUAUCACGAAGAACUCCGAUUGCGAAGGCAGCUCACUGGACUGCAACUGACACUGAGGCUCGAAAGUGUGGGUAUCAAACAGGAUUAGAUACCCCAGUAGUC